AUACGUAGGUGGCAAGCGUUGUCCGGAAUUAUUGGGCGUAAAGCGCAUGUAGGCGGUGCCUUAAGUCUGUCGUGAAACUGCGGGGCCUAACCCCGUAUGGCGAUGGAAACUGGGGUACUUGAGUGCAGGAGAGGAAAGGGGAACUCCCAGUGUAGCGGGGAAAUGCGUAGAUAUUGGGAAGAACACCGGUGGCGAAGGCGCCUUUCUGGACUGUGUCUGACGCUGAGAUGCGAAAGCCAGGGUAGCGAACGGGAUUAGAUACCCCGGUAGUCCUGGCCGUAAACGAUGGGUACUAGGUGUGGGAGGUAUCGACCCCUUCCGUGCCGGAGUUAACGCAAUAAGUACCCCGCCUGGGGAGUACGGCCGCAAGGCUUAAACUCAAAUGAAUUGACGGGG
rnacentral:rRNA from 1 species